CUGGACGUUCAGCCCGAUCAAUCAAAAAGUCCAAUGAGAGAAACCUUUGGAUGCCUCAAAAUAUAGAACACAUUCUUUUCCCAAUACGUCACAAUGUCUAUUUUGUAAAAUUAUUUAUAGUAAUAUUAUUCCAAUAGAUCCUUCGGUUGCCUCUAAAUAUAGAUCACUCGGUGAUAUUAAUAUAUAUACUGUUUGACUCCAGGUAUUGCCACGCUUUAUUUCACUGGCUGCUUAACUGAGUAAAACAUUGUAAAAGGUUAAAAUGGAAGAAAACAUGACGGUGGACAUGUGGGCGAAGGCUUGGAAAGAGGGCAAAACGAGCCACAUUCCAGAACUUUGCGAUAUGUUUACUAAAAAAGUUGAAAAAAUGUUAAACGGUCGUAAACAAGUUAAAUGUUUUGUCCCCCUUUGUGGAAAAGCUGUAGAAAUGAAAUGGCUUUGGGAUAAAGGACAUGAAGUUGUCGGCGUCGAAUGUGGUGAGGAAGCACUUAAAGAAUUUUUCGAAGAAAACAAAAUUGGAUGUAGUAUCAAAGAAAUUCCGGAGAUCAAAGGGAAAUUAUAUAAAAGUGAUGAUGGAAGAAUACGGUUGUAUUGCUGCGAUUUCUAUCUGUUUAACUCAGCUAUUGAAAGUAAAUUUGGGGCAGUUUGGGAUAGUGGUGCUCUAAAUGCCAUCAACGUAACUGACCAGGAGAAGUAUGUUGAUAUCAUCAAAUCACUUAUGGGAAAUAAAUGUGUGAAUCUUACUGUUAUUGACGACGCUACGGAUUGGGAAAUUCCAGUUAAUUUUGAUAAAAUGAGGACUUGGUUCAAAGACGGAUUCAGGGUGGAAGCAAAUGAUUAUGUAAAAGCUGACGAAAAGCUAGAAUCCUUUGGCAUCAAAGGGCAACAACUGUACACUAUAUCCAAAAUAUAAAAAUAUGUACUAACAUUGUACCUCAAUUCUUAUCUUGUUUUAUUCUUAUUUGGUAAAACAUAAUACAGAAUAACUGCAUUUGAUUUCGCUUGUUGUUGUGUAAGUAAUAAACCAUUAUUCAGUUUUGAA